ACUCAAAUGAAUAGACGGGGGCCCGCACAAGCGGUGGAUGAUGUGGUUCAAUUCGAUGCAACGCGAAAAACCUUACCUACCCUUGACAUGCCAGGAAGGCCGCAGAGAUGUGGUUGUGCCCGAAAGGGAACCUGGACACAGGUGCUGCAUGGCUGUCGUCAGCUCGUGUCGUGAGAUGUUGGGUUAAGUCCCGCAACGAGCGCAACCCUUGUCACUAGUUGCUACAUUCAGUUGGGCACUCUAGUGAGACUGCCGGUGACAAACCGGAGGAAGGUGGGGAUGACGUCAAGUCCUCAUGGCCCUUAUGGGUAGGGCUACACACGUCAUACAAUGGCGCAUACAGAGGGCUGCCAACCCGCGAGGGGGAGCAAAUCUCAGAAAGUGCGUCGUAGUCCGGAUUGCAGUCUGCAACUCGACUGCAUGAAGUCGGAAUCGCUAGUAAUCGCGGAUCAGCAUGUCGCGGUGAAUACGUUCCCGGGCCUUGUACACACCGCCCGU
rnacentral:rRNA from 1 species